ACCCUGCAUGCAGCCAUGCCGCGUGUGUGAAGAAGGCCUUCGGGUUGUAAAGCACUUUCAUUUGUGAGGAAAAGUUAGUAGUUAAUACCUGCUAGCUGUGACGUUAACAGCGGAAGAAGCACCGGCUAACUCCGUGCCGGCAGCCGCGGUAAUACGGAGGGUGCGAGCGUUAAUCGGAAUUACUGGGCGUAAAGCGCACGCAGGCGGUUUGUUAAGCUAGAUGUGAAAGCCCCGGGCUCAACCUGGGAUGGGCAUUUAGAACUGGCAGACUAGAGUCUUGGAGAGGGGAGUGGAAUUCCCUGUGUAGCGGUGAAAUGCGUAGAUAUCUGGAGGAACAUCAGUGGCGAAGGCGACUCCCUGGCCUGAGACUGACGCUCAUGUGCGAAAGUGUGGGUAGCGAACAGGAUUAGAUACCCUGGUAGUCCACACCGUAAACGCUGUCUACUAGCUGUGUGUGCCUUUGAGGCGUUGGUAGCGAAGCUAACGCGCUAAGUAGACCGCCUGGGGAGUACGGCCGCAAGGUUAAAACUCAAAGGAAAUUGACGGG
rnacentral:rRNA from 1 species